GUCUAUGGCUAUACAACUCUGAAUGUGUCUGGUCUCAGAAGCUAAGCAGCAUUGGGCAUGGUGAGUACUUGGGUGGGAGACCACCUGGGAAUACUGGGCUUUGCAAGCU
rnacentral:rRNA from 1 species